rnacentral:tRNA from 1 species
GCUGGCAUGGCGCAAUUGGUAGCGCACCCGACUUGUAAUCGGGCGGUUGCGGGUUCGAGUCCCGCUGCCAGCUCCA